UCCUACACCUUCCGCGCGUCUGGAAUGGCUGCUACCUUUGGAGGCCAGGAUCUGCGGCUCCUGAUUGGCCAAGAGAUACGCGCACGCCCGCGAGAUCCGUCGUCAAACGUGGCAGUGGGGCGGAGCUCCCGAGUGAAGGGCGGAGCUGCGUCUGCGCCUCUGAAACCCUUCGUGUUGCAUUCUGAUUGGACGGCCUGUCCUUAACUGACACCGCCCCCCCAGCUCUGCGAGUCGGAAGGCGAGCCUACGCAACUUCCGGUGCGCGUGAGGGUCGGGCGGUGCGUGCCGCGAGUCCAGCACCGCGGGGCUGGCGGGGCCGACGGGGCCGGCGGGGCUCGGCCGUCCCGGGCGGUGCCGGCGGCGGGUCGGGGCGCGGAGGCGGCGCGCAGGUGGCGCGGGGGACGCCGAGGCCGAACGUGAUACGGCCGGAAGGCCGGCGAGGAGGCCCACCAGAACGGGCGCAGGAAGAGGGAGGUUGGGCCGCUGCAGCUGAGGGUCCAAAAGCGGGGGACUCGGGGUCUCGGGGGAGGCCGACUCGGGGGGCCGCGCACCUGCCUCCCCGCCGGCUGCCGAUUCCUGCUGGCUGUCUGCGAGCCAUCCCGGGCCCCCGGGCGCUGCCCUCCGCGGCGGUGACCACCUGCCACCGAGGCGACGGGAACUCCCGUAACUUUUUUAUAUUCAGAUGUUGCGUUGGUACUUUGUAUACGUUGGGCUAAAUUAAAACGUUUGACUAGCUUCUAGAAAUUUUAAAAUAUCGGUUGUGGCUCCCACCCUAUUUUUGCUGGACGGCGCUGCUCUAGACUGAUCCGCCGUCCCUUUCCGUCACUGCUCAAAGCCUCUGCCACCACGUCUGCCUUUCCCUGGCAGCCCGCCCCACCCCCACCCCUGGAACAGACCGUUUGUCUCCAGGAAACCUUCCUCUUCAUUUGUAUUCGCUUCCUCUGUUGCGAAACGCCACCACCAGUAGCUUUGAGACUUCUCAUCAAUUUAAUAACAUGGCAGGAAGAAGAGAAACGCCCACGUUAAAUGUACACGUUGGCUGUAAUAACCUCCUCAUUUCAGAAAUGGUAAGACAGAAAAAACAUGCAUUCGUGCUUUGGAGAGUUCACAUUUGUCGAGUGGUUGCUUUUGGAGGGGAGGGCAUGUGUUCCUGUCUCUCCUGUGUGGGGCUGCCUCAACUGGUGUAUGCACUCCUGAAGGUCAAGGCCAUGUUCUCUGCUCUUCCCCCAGUGCCAGGGGAGCAAGGUUCACCGAGUGCUUGUACCUGCUGGCAUCCGUGUCUUCACAGGGACGACUUGACAGGAGCUGGGACUUUGGGCAUAGAAAGGCGGUGAACGUGUGCCUGGCAGAUUUCGGAAGCGCUCGUGAGACCAGGGUUUAGGUGCCUAAAGAGUGGGGUUUGAAUUUCUUCCGCUGGGGACAGUGAAGAGAUGAUACACACCACGACGAUGAGUUUGUGCCAGCACGGAGGCCGCUUCGCCCCAGGGCAUACAGUCCCGACAAAGAUGAGAACGUCGGGAUCGAGGGGAGAAUAAA